UAGGGAAUCUUCCGCAAUGGGCGAAAGCCUGACGGAGCAACGCCGCGUGAGUGAUGAAGGUCUUCGGAUUGUAAAACUCUGUUAUUAGGGAAGAACAAAUGUGUAAGUAACUAUGCACGUCUUGACGGUACCUAAUCAGAAAGCCACGGCUAACUACGUGCCAGCAGCCGCGGUAAUACGUAGGUGGCAAGCGUUAUCCGGAAUUAUUGGGCGUAAAGCGCGCGUAGGCGGUUUUUUAAGUCUGAUGUGAAAGCCCACGGCUCAACCGUGGAGGGUCAUUGGAAACUGGAAAACUUGAGUGCAGAAGAGGAAAGUGGAAUUCCAUGUGUAGCGGUGAAGUGCGCAGAGAUAUGGAGGAACACCAGUGGCGAAGGCGACUUUCUGGUCUGUAACUGACGCUGAUGUGCGAAAGCGUGGGGAUCAAACAGGAUUAGAUACCCUGGUAGUCCACGCCGUAAACGAUGAGUGCUAAGUGUUAGGGGGUUUCCGCCCCUUAGUGCUGCAGCUAACGCAUUAAGCACUCCGCCUGGGGAGUACGACCGCAAGGUUG
rnacentral:rRNA from 1 species